UGCACUGAUUCUGGACAUUGUCAACACUUCUACCUUUGUCUCCUCACCUUGAGUUCUAGAAUCUGCUGCGACGUGGUCACUACUCCUGUCUAGCAUUACCAGCUGCUUGUUCCGAAUCUGCCAGCGAUGCUGUUGACUCUCCUGCCCGUUUCCUUACCUAUACGCUGACCCACCUGUGUUCCUGGCCCGGCAGCUCCGCCUAAGUUCUCUCCUGUCUGUCGGACUCCCCUGAGUGCUUCCA